rnacentral:rRNA from 1 species
UGGAAGCGUCUGGAAAGGCGCGCGAUACAGGGUGACAGCCCCGUACACAAAAAUGCACAUGCUGUGAGCUCGAUGAGUAGGGCGGGACACGUGGUAUCCUGUCUGAAUAUGGGGGGACCAUCCUCCAAGGCUAAAUACUCCUGACUGACCGAUAGUGAACCAGUACCGUGAGGGAAAGGCGAAAAGAACCCCGGCGAGGGGAGUGAAAAAGAACCUGAAACCGUGUACGUACAAGCAGUGGGAGCCUCUUUUAUGGGGUGACUGCGUACCUUUUGUAUAAUGGGUCAGCGACUUAUAUUCUGUAGCAAGGUUAACCGAAUAGGGGAGCCGAAGGGAAACCGAGUCUUAACUGGGCGUUAAGUUGCAGGGUAUAGACCCGAAACCCGGUGAUCUAGCCAUGGGCAGGUUGAAGGUUGGGUAACACUAACUGGAGGACCGAACCGACUAAUGUUGAAAAAUUAGCGGAUGACUUGUGGCUGGGGGUGAAAGGCCAAUCAAACCGGGAGAUAGCUGGUUCUCCCCGAAAGCUAUUUAGGUAGCGCCUCGUGAAUUCAUCUCCGGGGGUAGAGCACUGUUUCGGCAAGGGGGUCAUCCCGACUUACCAACCCGAUGCAAACUGCGAAUACCGGAGAAUGUUAUCACGGGAGACACACGGCGGGUGCUAACGUCCGUCGUGAAGAGGGAAACAACCCAGACCGCCAGCUAAGGUCCCAAAGUCAUGGUUAAGUGGGAAACGAUGUGGGAAGGCCCAGACAGCCAGGAUGUUGGCUUAGAAGCAGCCAUCAUUUAAAGAAAGCGUAAUAGCUCACUGGUCGAGUCGGCCUGCGCGGAAGAUGUAACGGGGCUAAACCAUGCACCGAAGCUGCGGCAGCGACGCUUAUGCGUUGUUGGGUAGGGGAGCGUUCUGUAAGCCUGUGAAGGUGUGCUGUGAGGCAUGCUGGAGGUAUCAGAAGUGCGAAUGCUGACAUAAGUAACGAUAAAGCGGGUGAAAAGCCCGCUCGCCGGAAGACCAAGGGUUCCUGUCCAACGUUAAUCGGGGCAGGGUGAGUCGACCCCUAAGGCGAGGCCGAAAGGCGUAGUCGAUGGGAAACAGGUUAAUAUUCCUGUACUUGGUGUUACUGCGAAGGGGGGACGGAGAAGGCUAUGUUGGCCGGGCGACGGUUGUCCCGGUUUAAGCGUGUAGGCUGGUUUUCCAGGCAAAUCCGGAAAAUCAAGGCUGAGGCGUGAUGACGAGGCACUACGGUGCUGAAGCAACAAAUGCCCUGCUUCCAGGAAAAGCCUCUAAGCAUCAGGUAACAUCAAAUCGUACCCCAAACCGACACAGGUGGUCAGGUAGAGAAUACCAAGGCGCUUGAGAGAACUCGGGUGAAGGAACUAGGCAAAAUGGUGCCGUAACUUCGGGAGAAGGCACGCUGAUAUGUAGG